GCAGCAGUCGAGAAUAAUUCACAAUGGGGGCAACCCUGAUGGUGCAACGCCGCGUGGAGGAUGACGGUCUUCGGAUUGUAAACUCCUGUCAUCCGGGAGUAAGACCUGGCUGUGAAUAGCAGACAGGGUUGAUAGUACCGGAAGAGGAAGGGACGGCUAACUUCGUGCCAGCAGCCGCGGUAAUACGAAGGUCCCGAGCGUUGUUCGGAAUCACUGGGCGUAAAGGGAGCGUAGGCGGCGUGGUAAGUCAGAUGUGAAAUCCCGGGGCUCAACCCCGGAACUGCAUCCGAUACUGCCGUGCUAGAGGAUUGGAGAGGUAGCUGGAAUUCUUGGUGUAGCAGUGAAAUGCGUGGAGAUCAAGAGGAACACUCGUGGCGAAAGCGAGCUACUGGACAAUAUCUGACGCUGAGGCUCGAAGGCCAGGGUAGCGAAAGGGAUUAGAUAC
rnacentral:rRNA from 1 species